CCUAUUCUCAGGCGCUUGAGAGAACUCGGGAGAAGGAACUCGGCAAAUUGACACCGUAACUUCGGAAGAAGGCGUGCCUUUGUAGGUGAACCCGUACAGGGGGAGCCCAAUGAGGUUGCAAAGAAUCGGUGGCUGCGACUGUUUAAUAAAAACACAGCACUCUGCAAACACGAAAGUGGACGUAUAGGGUGUGACGCCUGCCCGGUGCUGGAAGAUUAAGUGAUGGGGUGCAAGCUCUUGAUCGAAGUCCCAGUAAACGGCGGCCGUAACAAUAACGGUCCUAAGGUAGCGAAAUUCCUUGUCGGGUAAGUUCCGACCUGCACGAAUGGCGUAACGAUGGCCACACUGUCUCCUCCCGAGACUCAGCGAAGUUGAAAUGUUUGUGAUGAUGCAAUCUCCCCGCGGAAAGACGGAAAGACCCCAUGAACCUUUACUGUAGCUUUGUAUUGGACUUUGAACGGAUCUGUGUAGGAUAGGUGGGAGGCUUUGAAGCAGGGUCGCUAGAUCUUGUGGAGCCAACGUUGAAAUACCACCCUGGUGCGUUUGAGGUUCUAACCUAGGCCCGUUAUCCGGGUCGGGGACAGUGCAUGGUAGGCAGUUUGACUGGGGCGGUCUCCUCCCAAAGCGUAACGGAGGAGUUCGAAGGUACGCUAGUUACGGUCGGACAUCGUGACGAUAGUGCAAUGGCAUAAGCGUGCUUAACUGCGAGACUGACAAGUCGAGCAGAUGCGAAAGCAGGACAUAGUGAUCCGGUGGUUCUGUAUGGAAGGGCCAUCGCUCAACGGAUAAAAGGUACUCUGGGGAUAACAGGCUGAUACCGCCCAAGAGUUCAUAUCGACGGCGGUGUUCGGCACCUCGAUGUCGGCUCAUCUCAUCCUGGGGCUGUAGCCGGUCCCAAGGGUAUGGCUGUUCGCCAUUUAAAGAGGUACGUGAGCUGGGUUUAAAACGUCGUGAGACAGUUUGGUCCCUAUCUUCCGUGGGCGCUGCAGAUUUGAGGAAGCCUGCUCCUAGUACGAGAGGACCGGAGUGGACGCACCUCUGGUGUACCUGUUGUCACGCCAGUGGCAUUGCAGGGUAGCUAAGUGCGGAAGAGAUAACCGCUGAAAGCAUCUAAGCGGGAAACUCGUUUCAAGAUGAGAUCUGCCGGGGCCUUGAGCCCCCUGAAGAGUCGUUCUAGACCAGGACGUUGAUAGGCUGGGUGUGGAAGCGCAGUAAUGCGUUAAGCUAACCAGUACUAAUUGCUCGUGCGGCUUGACCCU
rnacentral:rRNA from 1 species